CUCAAUGAUAUUUCAAUAGCCGCAAUUUUGUGCUAAGGUAGCAUAAUCAUUUGUCUUUUAAUUAAAGACUAGAACGAAAGAUUUAACAUUUUUAUUACUUUUUUAAUUAUAAUUCUUUAAAUUAUUUUAAAUAUAAAAAAAUAUUUAUAAAACAAAAAGACGACAAGACCCUAUUGAACUUCACUUUUGUUUAACUGGGGUAGUUAAUUAAAUAUUAUUUUAAUUUUUAAAAAAAUCUAAUAAAAUUAAAAUAUAAAGUUACCAUAGGGAUAACAGCGUAAUAAUUUUCCACAGAUCUUAUUCAAAAAAUAGUUUACGACCUCGAUGUUGAAUUAAUUACCUAUUAAAUGCAAUAAUUUAAUAAAGGAAGUC
rnacentral:rRNA from 1 species